GAAAGAUGAAAAGAACUUUGAAAAGAGAGUUAAACAGUACGUGAAAUUGUUGAAAGGGAAACGAUUGAAGUCAGUCGUACCAGCGGGAAAUCAACCUUUCGAGUGGGGUUUUGGAGUUUUGAAGUGUGUCAAAACCUUUGAGAUUUCAAAAUUUUCGUUCUUUUGGUGUACUUUCUCGUGGGUAGGUUAACAUCGAUUUUUGAUCAUCAUAAAAAGAUUGGAGGAAUGUAGCUUCGAUCUUGUAUUGAAGUGUUAUA
rnacentral:rRNA from 1 species